UACGGAGGGUGCGAGCGUUGUCCGGAAUCAUUGGGCGUAAAGGGCGCGUAGGUGGCCCGGUCAGUUCGUGGUGAAAGCGCGGGCUCAACCCUGCGUCGGCCAUGAAUACUGCCGCGGCUGGAGCACUGUAGAGGCAGGCGGAAUUCCGGGUGUAGGCGGUGGAAUGCGUAGAGAUCCGGAAGAACACCGGUGGCGAAGGCGGCGAUCCGUGGACCAUUACUGACACUGAAAGCGAAGACAAGG
rnacentral:rRNA from 1 species